AUGAACGCUGGCGGCGUGCCUAAUACAUGCAAGUCGAGCGAACAGACGAGGAGCUUGCUCCUCUGACGUUAGCGGCGGACGGGUGAGUAACACGUGGAUAACCUACCUAUAAGACUGGGAUAACUUCGGGAAACCGGAGCUAAUACCGGAUAAUAUAUUGAACCGCAUGGUUCAAUAGUGAAAGACGGUUUUGCUGUCACUUAUAGAUGGAUCCGCGCCGCAUUAGCUAGUUGGUAAGGUAACGGCUUACCAAGGCAACGAUGCGUAGCCGACCUGAGAGGGUGAUCGGCCACACUGGAACUGAGACACGGUCCAGACUCCUACGGGAGGCAGCAGUAGGGAAUCUUCCGCAAUGGGCGAAAGCCUGACGCAGCAACGCCGCGUGAGUGAUGAAGGUCUUCGGAUCGUAAAACUCUGUUAUUAGGGAAGAACAAAUGUGUAAGUAACUAUGCACGUCUUGACGGUACCUAAUCAGAAAGCCACGGCUAACUACGUG
rnacentral:rRNA from 1 species